rnacentral:rRNA from 1 species
GACCCGUCUUGAAACACGGACCAGAAGUCUAUCUUGCGCGCGAGCCAAUGGUCGUCUCCGGAACACCAAAGGCGCAAAGACAUACUCAGUUGUGCGUGAUCACGGGCGCAGCUCUCUGCAGCGUGCCUCCAUCCCCGGGUGUAGUAAACGGCAUUCGGUGGUGGUACUCGAGCCUCCAUCGUGCCACAACAUACCGUGAGUGUGCAGGAUGUGACCCGAAAGAUGGUGAACUAUGCCUGAUCAGGUUGAAGUCAGAGGAAGCCCUGAUGCAGGACCGAAGCAGUUCUGACGUGCAAAUCGAUUGUCAGAAUUGGGUAUAGGGUCGAAAGACCAAUCUGAACCAUCUAGUAGCUGGUUCCCUCCGAAGUUUCCCUCAGGAUAGCUGGAGCACGCAACGUUUCGAACUCUAUUCUUAUCUGGUAAAGCGAAUGAUUAGAGGCCUUAGGUUCGAAAUGAUCUUAACCUAUUCUCAAACUAUAAAUGGGUACGUACCAUAACAUUCUUGCAUGAUGUUAUUGCAGCGCGGACGCCGGCCCGCCCCCUGUUAGGGCGUUGGCCACUGGCGUAGAAGAUAUCUGUGUGCUUAGUGGGCCAAGUUUUGGUAAGCAGAACUGGUGCUGUGGGAUGAACCAAACGUAAUGUUACGGCGCCUAAAUAAACGACGCAUCAUAGAUACCAUGAAAGGUGUUGAUUGCUACAGACAGCAGGACGGUCGACAUGGAAGUCGGCAUUCCGCUAAGGAGUGUGU